rnacentral:rRNA from 1 species
UACGUAGGGUGCGAGCGUUGUCCGGAUUUAUUGGGCGUAAAGAGCGUGUAGGCGGCCAGGUAGGUCUGCUGUGAAAACUCGAGGCUCAACCUCGAGACGUCGGCGGAAACCAUCUGGCUAGAGUCCGGAAGAGGAGAGUGGAAUUCCUGGUGUAGCGGUGAAAUGCGCAGAUAUCAGGAAGAACACCCGUGGCGAAGGCGGCUCUCUGGGACGGUACUGACGCUGAGGAGCGAAAGCGUGGGGAGCGAACAGG